GAUGAACGCUGGCGGCGUGCCUAAUACAUGCAAGUCGAGCGAACGGACGAGAAGCUUGCUUCUCUGAUGUUAGCGGCGGACGGGUGAGUAACACGUGGAUAACCUACCUAUAAGACUGGGAUAACUUCGGGAAACCGGAGCUAAUACCGGAUAAUAUUUUGAACCGCAUGGUUCAAAAGUGAAAGACGGUCUUGCUGUCACUUAUAGAUGGAUCCGCGCUGCAUUAGCUAGUUGGUAAGGUAACGGCUUACCAAGGCAACGAUGCAUAGCCGACCUGAGAGGGUGAUCGGCCACACUGGAACUGAGACACGUUACAGAAUCCUACGGGAUGCAGCAGUAGGGAAUCUUCCGCAAUGGGCGGAAGCCUGACGGAGCAACGCCGCGUGUGUGAUGAAGAUCUUCGGAUCGUAAAACUCUGUUAUUAGGGAAGAACAUAUGUGUAAGUAACUGUGCACAUCUUGACGGUACCUAAUCAGAAAGCCACGGCUAACUACGUG
rnacentral:rRNA from 1 species